rnacentral:rRNA from 1 species
UGGGGAAUAUUGGACAAUGGGCGCAAGCCUGAUCCAGCCAUGCCGCGUGAGUGAUGAAGGCCUUAGGGUUGUAAAGCUCUUUCGACGGGGACGAUAAUGACGGUACCCGUAGAAGAAGCCCCGGCUAACUUCGUGCCAGCAGCCGCGGUAAUACGAAGGGGGCUAGCGUUGCUCGGAAUCACUGGGCGUAAAGGGCGCGUAGGCGGACGUUUAAGUCAGAGGUGAAAGCCCAGGGCUCAACCCUGGAAUGGCCUUUGAUACUGGACGUCUUGAGUCUGGUAGAGGUUGGUGGAACUGCGAGUGUAGAGGUGAAAUUCGUAGAUAUUCGCAAGAACACCGGUGGCGAAGGCGGCCAACUGGACCAGAACUGACGCUGAGGCGCGAAAGCGUGGGGAGCAAACAGGAUUAGAUACCCUGGUAGUCCACGCCGUAAACGAUGGAUGCUAGCCGUUGGCGGGUUUACCCGUCAGUGGCGCAGCUAACGCGUUAAGCAUCCCGCCUGGGGAGUACGGCCGCAAGGUUAAGACUCAAAUGAAUUGACGGGGUCAUAGCUGUUUCCU